GCCCUCUGGCACAUCCUAAGAUGGCGGAGAUCCCUCUGUACUUUGUGGACUUGCAGGAUGACUUAGAGGACUAGCCCACUGUGCCGACUGAGCUGAUGGGGCAGAUCCCUCCUCCCAGUACAUCCUGCCUGGUGGAGCUCGGUACCUUGAGGAUCCAGACAACCAGGUCAGAAAACCCAGCCAGGAAGCGCUACUGGCCCUUCUGGAGCAAGGUCUCAUUUCCCAGUGUGACAUUGAAGGCUAAGUAUGUCCUGCUCUGCUGGAGCGGUCUGCUCCCAGCCGUGAUGAUGAAUGCAGGAAGGAGGCCAUGAGCAUACCAACAUUUUUUGAGCUCUGCUCAGAUAACAUGAAGAAAGCAUGUUCAGAGUGCUUCACAGCUGUGUCCCACACUUCCCCCUGUGGUCUGCAGAACCCAGCUCUCAACUGUGUUCAUCAAACUCCUCAGUGAUCCCCAUCGAUAGGCCCAGCAGCUGUAGUGCCGCCUUAGCCGAGUGAGCUCUAGCCAGGAUGCUUGGCACCGCCAGCCCCCGUCACCUCAAGCAUCCACCUAGAAUCCAGCAACGAUCUCAUCUCCAGCUUUAGUAAUAGUGACCUUCUGGGCAAGAUGGAAGAUUAGAGCUUUAAUUAUGUAAAGAAGCAAAAAGUAAUUGCAAUAACGAUUUGGAAACAUGACUGCCGGGUUAUAAAUAAUGAAGCUACCACGUCUCCUCAGUUCAGAUAAAAUAUUCAUUCAGGGUGGUGAUUAAAUAACCUGU
rnacentral:lncRNA from 1 species